UACGUAGGGGGCGAGCGUUGUCCGGAGUUACUGGGCGUAAAGCGCACGCAGGCGGUCUGCUAAGUUUGGAGUGACAGUUGGUGGCUUAACUGCCAAAGUGCUUCGAAAACUGACAGACUUGAGGGCUUCAGAGGGACACGGAAUUCCGGGUGGAGUGGUGAAAUGCGUAGAGAUCCGGAGGAACACCAAAGGCGAAGGCAGUGUCCGGGGGAGUGCCUGACGCUCAGGUGCGAAAGCCAGGGGAGCGAACGGG
rnacentral:rRNA from 1 species